CGUAGGUGGCGAGCGUUGUCCGGAAUUACUGGGGCGUAAAGGGAGCGUAGGCGGUUUUUUAAGUGGGAUGUGAAAUCCCCGGGCUUAACCUGGGAAUGGCAUUCCAAACUGGGAAACUAGAGUGCAGGAGAGGAAAGUGGAAUUCCAAGUGUAGCGGUGAAAUGCGUAGAGAUUUGGAGGAACACCAGUGGCGAAGGCGACUUUCUGGACUGUAACUGACGCUGAGGCUCGAGAGCGUGGGGAGCAAACAGGAUUAGAUACCCUGGUAGUCCACGCUGUAAACGAUGAAUACUAGGUGUUGGGGGCUAAGCCCUCAGUGCCGCAGUUAACACAUUAAGUAUUCCGCCUGGGGAGUACGAUCGCAAGAUUA
rnacentral:rRNA from 1 species